rnacentral:rRNA from 1 species
UACGUAGAGUGCAAGCGUUGUCCGGAAUUAUUGGGCGUAAAGAGCUCGUAGGCGGUUCGUCGCGUCGGCUGUGAAAAACCUGAGGCUCAACCUCAGGCCUGCAGUCGAUACGGGCGGACUUGAGUACUGCAGGGGAGACUGGAAGUUCCUGGUGAUAGCGGUGAAAUGACGCAGAUAUCAGGAGGAACACCGGUGGCGAAGGCGGGUCUCUGGGCAGUAACUGACGCUGGAGGAGCGAAAAGCGUCGGGGAGCGAACAGG